rnacentral:rRNA from 1 species
UACGUAGGGUGCGAGCGUUAAUCGGAAUUACUGGGCGUAAAGCGUGCGCAGGCGGUCCGCUAAGACCGAUGUGAAAUCCCCGGGCUUAACCUGGGAACUGCAUUGGUGACUGGCGGGCUGGAGUAUGGCAGAGGGGGGUAGAAUUCCACGUGUAGCAGUGAAAUGCGUAGAGAUGUGGAGGAAUACCGAUGGCGAAGGCAGCCCCCUGGGCCAAUACUGACGCUCAUGCACGAAGCGUGGGGAGCAAACAGG